CCAUUUUAUUUUUUAUUUCUAUUGUUUUUCAAACAAAAAGAAGCAGAAUGCUUUUUCUUCCCUACUCCCUCUCCAUUUUUGCUAGGAAUUCAACCUAGUUUGUGCCACCAUGGAGGAUCAUCGAUGCCACGCACCUCCACCCCACCGCUGGUUCACAGAUCAAAAUCAGGUAUAGCUGCGAAAAUCUCGAAAUCGAGAAGCGUGGUGGAGUGGGAUGCUGGUGAGAGGCGUGCGGCGCGAGGACUGCUCUUGUUUGGGGUUUGCUGGUACCUGGGUCAACUGAUUUGGGUGUUGGGUUAUUUAUGUACUGGCCUAGAGUUUGGUUUAAAUGGUUAAUGGGUUUGUUUUUAUAUUUUGGAUUUUAAAUAUUUGGGUCUGGACCAGGAAUGAAUUGGGACCAACAUUUAAUAUUUUUAUAUAUUUUAUAGUUUUUUAUGAUUUUUAUAAAA